GUCCUUUUGAUUAUAAUUUAAGGUUUAACCUGCCCUAUGAAAAUUUAAAUGGCCGCAAUAAUUUGAUUGUGCAAAGGUAGCAUAAUAAUUAGUUUCUUAAUUAGGAACUGGAAUGAAAGGUUGAACGAGAAAGAUACUGUCUCAAUUUAAAUUAAAUUAGAAUUUUAUUUUUAAGUUAAAAAGCUUAGAUGAUUUUAAAAGACGAGAAGACCCUAUAGAGUUUUAUAUUUUAUUUUUUUUUAUUAUUUUAGAAUUAAUUUUAUAUAAAAAUAAUGUAAGUAUUUGAUUGGGGUGAUUGAAAAAUUUAUUAAACUUUUUUUUAUUUAUAACAUUGAUAUAUGAAUUAAUGAUCCAUAAUUUUAUGAUUAUAAGAUUAAAUUACCUUAGGGAUAACAGCGUAAUUUUUUUUAAGAGUUCUAAUCGAAAAAAAAGUUU
rnacentral:rRNA from 1 species